AGACUGCCAGCCUCACUGUUGGGGUGGGAGGGGACAGAGCAUCUGCUUGGCAUGCAGAAGGUCUCAGGUUCCAUCUCUGGCAGCAUCUCCAGUGCCUGAAACCUGGGAGAAGCUGCUGCCAUUUGCUGUGACUGUCCAAAGCGAAGUUCAUGGAAGCUACUGUUCUGGAUUCACUAACUGCUCAGAACCAUCAUGGAGCGUCAGAAGCAGCACUGAGCACGAGAAAGAAUUCUGGAUCCUUGCCUUCCCUCAGCAAAGUUCAAAAAGCUCACACAAUAUCUUCGUGAAAGGUACAGAACUUACCUCUAUUUCCAUUUUGGCGCAUUUUUGUAAAGUUUCCACGUGCCACUGGGUUUUGCAAGAUAACUCGGUUCAAACUGGUGCACAGCUGUUCUGGCAUGAGGGAGCACCUGGCCGGGUCUGAGCAAAUGCCAUUCUUGCUUGAGGGGGAUCCAGGAAGUGGUCAUGGACAUGGCUGAUUUGCUUCUCCAGUGAAUAACUUCUUAAAAAAUCAAAUCACCAACAUUCUGGCUAGUGUGAGUCCAAACGCCCUCCCAACUUUAUUCUCGUGUUUCUAGGCUGCAAACCUGAGGGAAUUCCUGUAGGGGAAGAAUGGUUGUUCAUUCUCCAAAUAGCAAAGCAAAACCAGUUGGGUGAGAAAGCAGCAAAGCAAGAGGUCUUGAGAUAGUUCUUUAGUACUGAAGAACUACAAGGAUUUAUUAAAAGAAAAGGUUACAAAUGAAUGUGAAAAAGCCUGCAGCUUAAUUUCAGCUGUAGCUCAAGCCUGAAGAGAGAGACCAAAACAAACACCCAUCUCUGGAGAAACAAAAUGGAGACUAACACUGGAAGAACAAAGAGGGGAGGAGUCCAGAACUUUUAUCCAUGACCCUAAACCCCCCCCCCACACACACACACUGGUCACUGUGAGACACUGCAGCGGAGAACUGAUGCUGCCAGGGUCCUAGCUCCAACACUCCUUCUCAUCGGUUCGUGCUGCUGUCUGUAAGUCCCAACUUCUCUCUCAAGGUUUUGAAAUGAUCCCUGGGCAACAGCUUACUUAGCACAUCUGCUACUAUUUGUUCACUUUGACAAUACAUUAAUUUUACA